AUGGCCGCGCCGGAGGCACCCACGUGCUACGUCGGGAUCGCGCGCCAGUCCGCCGCCUUCCGCCUCAUGAAGCAAAUGGGAUGGGAAGAAGGUGAAGGCCUCGGGAAAGACAAGCAGGGUAUAAAGGGGCAUGUCAGAGUGAAACAAAAGCAGGACACACUAGGUGUUGGUGUGGACAAUCCUCAGAACAAAUGGGCGUAUGAUACCACCCAGUUUGAUGAUAUACUAAAGAAACUGAAAGUGCAAUCUACAACUCCUGUUAAAGGUAAAAUUGAGGAUGUAAGCAGUUCACCUGACAGUACACCCAAGAAAGAUAAACCUGCAAAAGAUGAAGUCGCUAAAGUUACCCGGCCUCAAGGAAGAUACAAGAAAAGGGAGAGGGGGAAAAGUGUGAGGGGUUAUUCAGCAGUUGAUCUUGAAGGCAUACUUGUUCGGAAGAAGGAAAAUGAUUGCAAGGUGGAUCAGGAAGUUCAACCAUCAUGUAUGGAAGAGCCUGAUAUCACCAUCGGCAAGGGUGCAGUAUCCCAAGCUGAAGAUGUGAACUGGUGGGGCCACAAGUUUGGAUAUGUAUCAGGAGGCUUUUUAGGAGCAAAAUCUCGCAAGAAUAAAAAAGAUAUUUCUAAUGUCCGUCAGAUGUUUGGGGAAGAUGAUCAAGAAAAUCUGUACAACCUUGUUCAGGACAAAGCUACAUCUGGAAAGCAGGGUCUUGGCAUCAAGGACCUGCCGAUGAAAGUUGGUGGCCAGCGUUGGAAGGGGAACAAAACCUCUCUUGGUGAUAGUGAUGAGGAAAAUUCAACCCAGUCUGAAUUAUCAGAAGUGGAAGAAGAUGAAGACGAGGAAGUAUCUGCCAGUGAUGCUAAAGUAAAUGAAGUACAUGUGAAAACCAUAAAAGAAGUUUGUGUGGAUGCUAAACCUAAAACCAAGUUCAAGAAGCUUUGCAAAAAAAUUCUUCGUCAGGCUCCAUCUCAGUCCAUGAAAUUGAAGGAGCUCAAGGAAGCUGUUGAAGAACAAUCAACUAUUUUGUCCGACUUCUCCUGUAGACGUGAAGCUCUAUCAUUCUUGAAGAGGAAGCUCCAGGGAAGCAAGAAAUUUAAUCUGGAGGGCAAAAGGGUGCAUCUUGUAUCAUGA
rnacentral:rRNA from 1 species